UACGGAGGGUGCAAGCGUUGUUCGGAUUUACUGGGCGUAAAGAGCGUGUAGGUGGUUUAGCAAGUCAGAUGUGAAAGCCCUGGGCUCAACUCAGGAAGUGCAUUUGAAACUGCUAUUCUAGAGUAUGGGAGAGGAGAGUGGAAUUCCCAGUGUAGAGGUGAAAUUCGUAGAUAUUGGGAGGAACACCGGUGGCGAAGGCGACUCUCUGGACCAAUACUGACACUGAGACGCGAAAGCGUGGGGAGCAAACAGG
rnacentral:rRNA from 1 species